rnacentral:rRNA from 1 species
CGAUGAACCACUUCGGUGGGGAUUAGUGGCGAACGGGUGAGUAACACGUGGGCAAUCUGCCCUGCACUCUGGGACAAGCCCUGGAAACGGGGUCUAAUACCGGAUAACACACGCUCAGGCAUCUGAGUGUGUUGAAAGCUCCGGCGGUGCAGGAUGAGCCCGCGGCCUAUCAGCUUGUUGGUGAGGUAGAAGCUCACCAAGGCGACGACGGGUAGCCGGCCUGAGAGGGCGACCGGCCACACUGGGACUGAGACACGGCCCAGACUCCUACGGGAGGCAGCAGUGGGGAAUAUUGCACAAUGGGCGAAAGCCUGAUGCAGCGACGCCGCGUGAGGGAUGACGGCCUUCGGGUUGUAAACCUCUUUCAGCAGGGAAGAAGCGAAAGUGACGGUACCUGCAGAAGAAGCGCCGGCUAACUACGUGCCAGCAGCCGCGGUAAUACGUAGGGCGCAAGCGUUGUCCGGAAUUAUUGGGCGUAAAGAGCUCGUAGGCGGCUUGUCACGUCGGUUGUGAAAGCCCGGGGCUUAACCCCGGGUCUGCAGUCGAUACGGGCAGGCUAGAGUGUGGUAGGGGAGAUCGGAAUUCCUGGUGUAGCGGUGAAAUGCGCAGAUAUCAGGAGGAACACCGGUGGCGAAGGCGGAUCUCUGGGCCAUUACUGACGCUGAGGAGCGAAAGCGUGGGGAGCGAACAGGAUUAGAUACCCUGGUAGUCCACGCCGUAAACGGUGGGAACUAGGUGUUGGCGACAUUCCACGUCGUCGGUGCCGCAGCUAAC